UACGUAGGGGGCGAGCGUUGUCCGGAAUUACUGGGCGUAAAGGGUGCGUAGGCGGCCCUGCAGGUCAGAUGUGAAAUACCCGUGCUUAACAUGGGGGCUGCAUUUGAAACCGUAGGGCUUGAGUGUGGAAGAGGUAAGUGGAAUUCCCGGUGUAGCGGUGAAAUGCGUAGAGAUCGGGAGGAACACCAGUGGCGAAGGCGACUUACUGGGCCACAACUGACGCUGAGGCACGAAAGCGUGGGGAGCAAACAGG
rnacentral:rRNA from 1 species